UUCCGGUUGAUCCCGCCGGACCUGACUGCUAUCGGAUUGAUACUAAGCCAUGCGAGUCUUUGCAGUAAUGCAAGGCGGACUGCUCAGUAACACGUAGUCAACUUAACCUAUGGAUGGGUAUAACCUCGGGAAACUGAGAAUAAUUCCCAAUAGAUCAUUUAUCCUGGAAUGGUUGAUGAUUGAAAUGAUUCGUCGCCAUAGGAUGGGACUGCGGCCUAUCAGCUUGUUGGUGAGGUAAAGGCCCACCAAGGCUAUUACAGGUACGGGCCCUGAGAGGAGAAGCCCGGAGAUGGGUACUGAGACACGGACCCAGGCCCUAUGGGGCGCAGCAGGCGAGAAAACUUUGCAAUGUGCGAAAGCACGACAAGGUUAAUCCGAGUGAUUUCUGCUAAAGAAAUCUUUUGCCAGUUCUAAAAAUACUGGUGAAUAAGGGGUGGGCAAGUUCUGGUGUCAGCCGCCGCGGUAAAACCAGCACCUCAAGUUGUCAGGAGGAUUAUUGGGCCUAAAGCAUCCGUAGCCGGCUCUGUGAGUUUUCGGUUAAAUCCAUAUGCUCAACAUAUGGGCUGUCGGAAAUACUGCAGAGCUAGGGAAUGGGAGAGGUAGACGGUACUCGGUAGGAAGGGGUAAAAUCCUUUGAUCUAUCGAUGACCACCUGUGGCGAAGGCGGUCUACCAGAACAUGUUCGACGGUGAGGGAUGAAAGCUGGGGGAGCAAACCGGAUUAGAUACCCGGGUAGUCCCAGCUGUAAACGAUGCAGACUAGAUGAUGCAUUAGCAUAUAGCUAGUGCAGUGUCUCAGGGAAGCCGUUAAGUCUGCCGCCUGGGAAGUACGUACGCAAGUAUGAAACUUAAAGGAAUUGGCGGGGGAGCACCACAAGGGGUGAAGCCUGCGGUUCAAUUGGAUUCAACGCCGGG
rnacentral:rRNA from 1 species